GAGUAGCAUCUACCAGAAUUAAUAAAGACAGAAAAUAAAUAGCUUUGUAAAGGAAUGUUAUGGAGACAAUCACUGGCCAAUGCCAACAGACUACUUCAAAAGAAGUCAGAGCAAAAGUUUUUCAACGGAAUAGAGUCUGUUAGGAAUUCAAGAAAGUAUUACAGGUUUUCUACUUCGUUUUCUUUAAAUCAUUCAGGAAGAUACCACACCUGCGAAAGGUGAGCAGACAGCCAUAGAAAAAGACCAGUGAGCUCAGACAAGAUGAAAAACACAGUAGCAGAAUUGAAAAAAAAUCCUACAUGCAAGCAUCGUGUAACAGAUUCAAUGCUGCGGAAAAUCUGAUUGGCUAAGAAGAUAAUAUGCGUGAGAAAUUCUCCUGUACCUAAAAAUGAAAGUGGAGGAUAUGAAAGAGAUGAGGAAGUGAGAAUGAUGGGAAGAAAAAAGGGACAAAGAUGACAGUUCAGGGAUGCCUCGUGUAUGUGUCAGAAAGCAUAGACCAAAUGGAAAAGAAGCAUUAAACAAAUAGGAACUUUCCUGAGCUACAGAAAGAAUCGAAUCUUCAGAUUCAAAAGGCUCAUCAAAAACAAGGCAAAAUUAGUUAAAAGACCCUAACAUCUAGGCUCUUUCAAUUUUGGGGCAUAAAGAAAGGACUCAUAAUAAAAAAAAAAAAAAAAAAAAAAAAAAAAGAAAAAGAAAAAGAAAAAACAACCACAAAAGAACAACAAAAAAUCAGGUAACUCACAAAGGACCAAAAAUCAUCCUAGUUCACACUUCUCUACUGACGUUUGCAUCAAAAUCCAGAUGAUGAUAGGGUCAUGUUUUUAAAAUUUUGAGAGAAAACAAUGGUGAGACAAAAGAAACUGUCUAGAGAGAAAGGUCAGUGCAUUUGAACAGGUAAAGCAAAGGAACAGCUGAAAAUUAGAAAAGCAGAGGGGAAAGCUGAUUCAUCUAUUCUUCAUACACACAAAUUUAAAAGCACUUCUAUCGAAUAAAAAUUUUAGUCAAAAAACCCCUUAAGCAUCAGAAAAGAGGAAGAUGUAGCAAAAUGGAGAGAUUAAUGUUUCUGCGUCAGACAGCAGCAAGACAAGUCAAUAAUUUUCCUUUAAAGCAACUCAGGGGAGAUCUCAGGAACAUGUUUGCCUAUACAGGACAGAUGUUGAUGUGCUGAAGUGUGGCUUUCUGUCCCUGUGCCCCUGCUCCACCCCCACACCUUCCAAAGCCCCCCGGGGCACUUAGGUGUUGCAGCGGCAGCAUCUGCACUUUGCUUGCAGGGAAGCUCAGACCCGAUGAUUCAGCAGAUGGAGUGCUAAAUUAGGGAGGAACUGUCUCCUUGUCAGAGAGGGUGAAAGAACCCCAUUUGGCUCACCUUGCCUAUGAAACCAUCCAGCCCAGCCAAGGAAGGGAUGUGAUGGCUGAGACAAGGGUUUUCAGAGCUGACCCAGCUCUGCUCACCUGCCCUCUCUGUGCACCCCUCUUCUGUCCUCCAGAGGUGCAGCCCGCACCUGAAAAGCUGUUGGCUCAAUCUACCCAAACACCCAUUGUGUUUUCCAACCUUUUCACCUCUAUUCUUUUUUUUUGAUUAAAAAAUAUCAUACUGAAAUACAGUUGAUUUAUAGAGUUGUGAUAAUUUCUCUGUACAGCAAAGUGAUUCAGUUAUAUACAUACACAUAUCCAUUCUUUUUUAGAUUCUUGUCCAUACAGGUUAUUAUAGACUAUUGGGUAGCAUUCUGUGUGCUGUACGGUAGGUCCUGGUUGACCAUCCAUUCCGUAUAUCACCACAAAGUGCAUAUGCCAGUCCCAAAUCCUCAGUCCAUCCCUCUUCCCAGUCUGUCUUGUUUGGUAACCAUAGUGUGUUUUUAAAAUCUGUGAGUCUGAUUCUGUUUUGUAAAUAUGCUCAUUUGUAUCAUUUUUUUUUUUAGAUCCCACAUGUAAGUGGUCUCAUAUAAUAUUUGUCUUUAUCUGACUUAAUUCACUCAGGAUGAUAAUCUCUGGGUCCAUCUAUGUUGCUGCAAAUGGCAUUACUUCAUUCUUUUUUAUGGCUGAGUAAUAUUCCACUGUAUAUCUGUGCCAUAUCUUCUUUGUCCAUUCAUUCCUCUGUCAAUAGAUAUUUAGGUUGCUUCCCUGUCUUGGUUAUUGUAAACAGUGCUGCAAUGAACACUGGGGUGCAUUAUCUUUUCAAAUUAUGAUUUUUUUUUUCCUGGAUGUAUCCCCUGGAGUGGGAUUGCAGGAAAUGGUAGCUCUAUUUUUAGUUUUUAAAAGAACCUCCAUACCAGUUGUAUCAAUUUACAUUCCCACCAGAGGUGUAGGGGGAAACCCCUUUUCUCUACACCCUCUCAGCUUUUCUGGUUUGUAGACUUUUUUGAUGAUGGCCACUUCCAUUCACUUUAUUUCCACACCCACCAUUCUUUCAAGUGGAUGUAUUAUGAUUCUCUCUGAUGCUCAGAUCCCUGCGGUGUGUUGUCGCCGAGCUGAGCGGGGCUAUCACUGAAAACAGUGGCGCCCUCCGCCCCUCCAGCUCCUCCUCCAGCCUGGUCAGGAGAGAGAGCCAGUGCUUUUUCUAAAGGAAAACCCUCAACUCAACUCUUAUUCUCAGACUCCUAGUUUGCUUAUUGGUUGCAGGAAAUUUCUAUUUCUUUGCUAACUUUCCACCCAGUUGACAACAGGCUUCUAGUGCCUUCCCACACCCAUCCUAAGAACACGUGUCAGUCUGUGCCCUGGGGGCUGGGCAGCUGCUAUGGCCGAGAGGCAGCGCCUGAAGGCUUUGUCCUAUUAAGUUUCCAAGGUGAUGCUGACCAUGUGGGGGCGGGAGCGGGGUGCCCUGGGAACAUGCCCUCACCCAUCUUUCCAUUAUAGCCAGGCCACUGGAUACCCGCCACUCCCACCUGGUCUGUCCAGACUACCUCUGAGCUUGUUCUCGGAUGUUCCCAAUGCCAUCGUCUUUCCCUGAGCCUCGGACCCUCCUCUGACAGCUCCUGUUACUCUUUCUCUGCAUCCUCCCAGAGAGACAUGCUGCCCCGUGUGGUCCAUGGAUCUGGCGUGAUCUUUCCACCCUGCAGGACACAUCUCAGAUCAGCCCACAGCCCUCAAGCAGACUGUGUUUUCCAAAGAUGCCCUUCACAACAUCUCCCCGCAAAGAUGCGGAGUCCAAGCCUCCUCUCCUUGAAGCUGGGCUCCUCUGCGACCAACAGAAUGUGGCACGGUGACUCUGUGACUUCCAAAGCUAGGCCAGGAGAGGUAAGGUCAUGGCCUCCUUGUUCUCUUAGGAGGCCCAUCCUCGGGGAAGGAGAGACCACAUAAGAAGGCCCAUAACCCCAGGCCGCCAUGCUGGAGAGACCACCAUACUGGAGAGGCCGCCAUGCUGGAGAGGGUGCCUUGCUGGAGAGGCCAUAUGUAGGCACCUGGGUGGACAGUCCCAGCUGAGUGCAGCCCUCCAGCCACUCCUGCAAAAACACCAGAAACAGCUGAUGCUCAUUAUUCACACUCUAUGCACCUGUGCGUUAGCCUAGUCACUAAAAUGUAUGUGUAACCCCCACAUCCACACUCACGGCACCUUUGUGGCCAUUCAGGGAUGUGUGCAGAGCAGCAACACACGGGCAUAUUUCAGCGGAGUCCAUCUCAUACUGGAAAUAAAUGUCCUUUUUGUGGUCUAUUUAGUGCUAUGUUUUCUGCAUUUUUGUGCUUUUCGUUGGGGAUUUUGCCAUUUGAAAUAGUUUCCACGCCUCGUGCUGACACGCUGUCUGUUGUCCUAAGUGCGGGAAGGCUGUGAUGCGCCUUAUGGGGAGAAAAUCCUCUUGGGAGAUGAGCUUCAUUCAGGCCUGAGCUGUGGCGCCGGUGGCCCUGAGUUCCAUGUUAAUGACCCAACAACAUGGUCCAUCUCAGCCAAGGAAGAGGACGUUUGCUAACCUGUCCAGAGGUCACUCCAGAAACUGUGAGUGACAUGUUGUAGUAAGUAUGGAACUGGAAAAGUUGGAGAGUGGCUAACUUGGCAGACUCAUGAAAUGAUGACGGAUUAAAAAAAAUAUAGUGAAUGGCACUGCGGUGAGGCUAGAAGCCAAAAAACAUUCAGGUCACCUUACCCUGCAUUGGGAGGACGCUGAGUCCUUUUCAGCUGGUGUUUUAGUGUUUAGAGUAAAGAAGUACCACUAAAUUAUUAUGAUAACUAAUCGAAUUCAUUAUUUUGAAGAAAUAUAUAAAGUGUCUUUAAAUAGAGACACAUAAAGAAUUCCCACUUGUGGCACAGUGCGUUAAGGAUCUAGUGUUGUCUCUGUAGUGGCUCAGGUGGCUGCAGAAGUUACCAGUUUAAUCCCCAGCCCAGUGCAGUGGGUCAAGGAUCCAGUGUUGCCACAGCUGUGGUGUAGGUUGCAGCUGCAGCUUGGAUUAGAUCCCUGGCCUGGGAACCUCCUUAUGCUGUAUGUGUGGCCAUUAAAACAAAACAAAACAAAAACCUCACAAAAACCCCAGAAGCACUGAUAAAACAGAGUUGCUUAGGGAUCAGUUGACAGAAAUGUUGUGAUGUCACCGUGACUAUCCCCCAGGAGCAAAAGCUCAGUAUCUGCUAAUUUAAGGCUCCUGUGGUUUUGCAACACAUAACCUCGGUGAAGAGGGAGCCUCUGCUGUCUCUCAGUGAGGCUGCCCCGUGCCCUCCAGGCUGGUCAUCACCAGCUGAGCUCGAGACGUCAGCCGACAACAGGGGGAGCAGAGGGAUCGGGGAGCCGAAUUCCUGGCUCAGGGAACCAGGGAGGUGUGUACAGGACAAUGGCUGCUGUUGGAUCCGCUGUGUUGGGGUCAUUGGAGACGGCAGGUGGUCACACAGGAGGUGGCACCAGAUGUGGUAAUUGCUAGGGCUUCUCUUCUCCUUUUUUCUAACCCUAAUACUGCACACUGGGGUAUUCCCAGUGAUUUACGGGUGAGGAAACUGAGGAUUGGAGAGUCUAACCAGCUUGGAGGUGCUGGGGCUUGAAGUGGUGACGUAGGAUCUCAACCCAGCCACGGUGAAGCCCAGACUCACGCCCUCCCUGCUGGCUUCGCUGUCUGCUGAAAUAACUGAAGUCACCCACUCCAGGGGCUCAGGCCCCGGCCUCUUCUUUCCUUUUCUGUCCCUCAGGUUGUGUCUGCAUGACAAUUAAGAACACCGCUGAGUUUAUUUGUUCCCUUUAGUUUGGGGAUUUUGGCAGAAUUUUUAGUCAUGUGCAGAGUGAAUUUUUUUUUUUUUUUUUUUUUUAGGGCUGCUCCCACAGCAUAUGGAGGUUCCCAGGCUAGGGGUCCAAUCGGAGCUGUAGCCACUGCCUACACCACAGCCACAGCAAAGCCAGAUUUGAGCCAUAUCUGCAGCCUACACCCCAGCUCACGGCAACACAAGAUCCUUAACCCACUGAGCAAGACCAGGGAUCGAACCCGUGUUCUCAUGGAUACUGGUCUGGUCCAUUAACCGCUGAGCCACAACAGGAACUCCCAGUGGUGUGUAUGUUAAGCAGAAAUGAGAUGUCCUGUUGGAAAGCAUUGUUCAGGCUUUAAAAAGAGGACUGUGGGGACAGGUGCUGUGAGGAAAGACUCCUCGAGAGUGAGACGUGGGCAUCAGCAUGUAAGCUGGGCUUGCCGUGUCCCUGCCGGUCAGGGGGUCAGCUGGCCAUGCCUGGUCUCCGGAGAGCGAGGCUGAGUUUCUCCAAAAGCUUAUGGGGGGAGGGUGUCUGCUCCAGGAGAACCCCUGGGGCUUAGCUCCCAAAUGUUGAAGGGGAGGUUCAUGGACGUGUGGUUUUAUGUGUCCAGCAGGGACCCUACCCAGUGUCAUUGUUGCUGGUGGGGAGUGGAACGUGAAAAGGGAGCUUGAGCUUAAAGUGCCUGCAUUGGUUUGUUUGUUUGUUUGUUUGUUUGGCUGUGCCCAUGGCAUGCAGAAAUUCCUGGGCCAGGGAUCGAAUCCAUGCUGCAGCAGGGACCUGAGCCACAGCAGCGACAACACCAGCUCCUUAAGCCCUUGUGCUACCGGGGGACUCCCGCUUGUUUUUACUCUAGGCAGACAACGGCAAAAGGGAGGUCGGUUGAACCCUGGUGGAUGAUUGCUCUUCCUGAGAUGGGAGGCUGGGGUCGAGGGGCCCAGUCGGACGGGAGCCUUGCUGGGAGGAGCACGUCCUAAAGGAAAAGGCAAGACAGUGGGGCCUUCCAGCUUCCGGGUGUUCGUGUGCCCCCGGGUAUCCAGCUCUGGAGGAAGCCCUCGGCGAGCACUGUGCCCCUGGCUCUCACAUCAGCCUCCCCGCCACCCAGUGAGACAGGCUCGCAGUCAGCAGGAUGAGGGUCCCCUAGAGCGGCCUGCGUCCUAACGCCCGCAACUUGGGACGACACCACCUUACAAGGCAAAGGGGUUAGGAUUGCUAACCCGUUUAUCUUAAAAUAGGGAGCUUGGCUUAGAUUAUCCAGAUGGGCCCAGUGCAAUCCCAAGAGUCCUUCCACAUGGAGUCCGCCAGCAGUAAAGUCACUGGGACCGUCUGGGAAGGACCAGCCCGGCCACUGCUGGCUUUGGAGAUGGAGGCAGAGGCCACCGGGCUGGAAUGCGGGUGGCUUCUGGAAGCUGGAAAAGGCCAGAACACCGAGCCAAAAGGAACACGGCCUGUAACACUAGGACUCUGGGCCCCCUGAACGGGAAGUUAAGAAGUUUGGGGGGUUUGCACCCUUCUUGUUUGUGAUCGUGAUGCUGGGAAUAGGAAACCGACCCGGGGUUGUUUCCCACAGGUUAGGCAUGGUGAACGGAGGCUUGGGCAAACCAGGUGACUCUUACCCAAGUCGGCAACAUGCACAAGCCCAAGUGACAGAGCCCCCCGUUCAGUCUGCGCGGCUCCAGAGUCCGCACCGUGCAGCCCAGGAUUCAGUCAGGACUCAGGCUGUGUCUUACUGGUGGAAUUAGACUGGGCAAAUGCUAGAGAUGCUGGUGUGAGUGGGAAUGAGAGGGUCACCUCCAUCCCGGGCAUGUGUCCUGACGGGCGUGUGACAAUGACCACCAGACCUUGUCACGAGUAACUUGAUACAAAUGCAAACUUUGGUGUCUGGCUGGGAAGGCUCAAAUGAUAAUAGAAUUAAGCUCAUCGUGUUCUAAGACUGUGAGGGCUGCAUCGUAAUUCAGCCUGACUCCUUGUCCCGGCAAUCGUGGAGGCUGGGCUCAAACUGAGGAAUAUUCAGCAAUUGCUGAGCCAGCGGCCAUUAAUAUGCAUGAAGAGUCAGCGCCCUCGGGGGUGACACGUUGGCAGGAGUGGGACGGCCUGGCAUUGGUGGCUCAGCUUCUGUCACUGCCCGAGAAGCUGCCCUGUGCUACCUUCCCCAUCCACCCACAAGCUCAGCCCCCACUGAGCCUUUCCCAAGGGGCCGCCUCUCUUAUCGCUGAGGGUAAGUGUCACUGGGGGGUGGGGGGGAGGGGGAGGCCACAGCUGUCCUCUCACCACUUACCAGGUGCUUUUCUAGCCUCCAGAGAGAGAGAGCCUUGAGCAAAAGCGACAGGACUGCCUGUGCUCGGAGAGCUGCAGCCUCGGUGAGGUGACACUCGUGCCGCGGCAUCACUGAGGCGUCCCCUGAUGUCCCUGCCUUCUGCUUUCUUGGUCUCAAGGCUGAAGUUAAAAAGCCUGUAAUUUUCGGGAGUUCCUGUCGUGGAUCUGUGGGUUACGAACCUGGCUCAUAUCCAUGAGGAUGUGGGUUCAAUCCCUGGCCCCGCUCAGUGGGUUAAGGAUCCGGGGUUGCCAUGAGCUGUGGUGUAGGUUGCCGAUGCAGCUUGGAUCCCGUAUUGCUGUGGUUAUGGUGUAGGCUGGCAGCUGCAGCUCCGGUUGGACCCCUAACCCAGGGACUUCCAUAUGCCACAGGUGCGGCUGUGUAAAGAAAAACAAAAAAAA
rnacentral:lncRNA from 1 species